rnacentral:misc_RNA from 1 species
AGGCAAGAUUGGGAGCUUGACAGGGGCAACAAGGAAGUUGAUCUUAGCUUCAUUGAGAGUCAGCAAUGGAAGCCAGUUUUUGGUGAAGCCUCCAUGGCAGAAAGGCCUCUCAGAAAGAUUCAGAGCCCUGAACGCCAAGGCCCAAUUCAUUUCUCUGCAUCUUCAGCACAUCAAUCCGCACCUUCUUUCUCUGUUUCUCCUAGCUCUGCCUCUGCUCUUUCUUUACAUCCACCUUCUUCUUCUGCCUCGUCUUCUAGUUCGAGACUUCUAUUUCCUUUUGCUUUUGAAGGGUGUAAUCAACCUAUUCAAUUCCCCCACCAAUUCAGAACAAACCCUUCCAUGCCUUAUUUCCGUCCACCACAACAAGGGGCACAAAAUCAACAACAAAUGAUUUCUUUUGCUCAAAACCAGCAGCAAGGCAUCUCUUAUCCUCCGCUUUUUGCUGGAGAAUUUGCAUUGGCAAACCAACGGCAGCAGCAGCAGAUGUUACAAUAUUGGAAUGAUUCACUGAACUUAAGUCCAAGAGGAAGGAUGAUGAUGAUGAAUAGGCUGGGCCCAGACGGAAGGCCAUUGUUUAGGCCACCGGUUCAGCUUCAGCCCAUAAACACAACAAAGCUUUACAGGGGAGUGAGGCAAAGACAUUGGGGUAAAUGGGUAGCUGAGAUUCGUCUCCCCCGUAAUAGGACUCGGCUUUGGCUAGGCACGUUUGACACAGCUGAAGAUGCUGCCAUGGCUUAUGAUCGCGAGGCUUUUAAGUUGAGAGGAGAGAAUGCAAGGCUAAAUUUCCCUGAACUUUUCCUCAAUAAGGAUAAAGCAAUCUCCACUGCUACAACUGCCGCAGUUUCGUCUCCUCCAACUCCCAAUAAAAGUUCAUCACCUAAACAAACUCAAGAAAUUCUUGACUUGCAGGAUUCAAAUGUGGAAAGUAUGCCACCGUUACCACCACUGCCACCUCCGCUGCAGCCCCUGUCACAGCAGCCUCAAGGAGACAAUCCUGACAAUGA